GUAGAAUUCCUAGGAGCCAAGACUGUAUGGAAGAAAGUACACAGAGAAUUCACAUGGACAGACAGGGGUGUGAAGUUUUUGGGUUACAGUUGAAAGUAUGGAGAUGGUUCAGGAAGAAAGGGCGAUGAUGGGGAAGAACAUGACAAAUGGAAGAUUAGGCAGAGCUAGGCUUUGGAGACCGAGCUGGUUCUGUUCCAGGAAAGGGUCUCUAUCCCUGUUCAUAGGGCUGAGCAAGUGAGACCCACUUUACUAGAUUUUGCUCUUCAUUUCAUGAAUUGUGCUAAUACCCUGAUGUGUUUUUUAUGUUAUUUUUGGUGUAGGGUUAGGGUUUUGAGCUAGUUUUGGUUGAGAAAGGUGAGAUUAGACAAACUUGAAACCCUAAUCUCUUGUGGGUAGUCAAAAUAGCAAUGAUUAUGCCCUUGUUUUUUGCAAAAAAGAAAUUGCUGGACAUGGUAUUUGUUUUUAGGAGAAGAAAUUCUGCAAAAGAAUUAUUUUCUAUAUUGGAAAUUAUGCUUAUCUAUGGCACAGGAACCACCAUUAGGCAUUUCUAUGUUCUUUUUUGCUCCCUUUUAUAUGUCCAUUGUUUAUUUGAUGGCCAUUUUGAAAAUCCCAAAUUUGGACCAUCCAGGAAUGUCUUCCUGCUGACAAUUUAAGCUAGCAUUGAUCUGAUUUGUACUUGUUUCGUUCGGUGAUCUCUAACUUGCCCUAAAAUUUCCGUAAUUUUCAUUUGAUGUCCUAGAUUUGAUCCAUCCAGUGUGAAUUCCACAGCACUCGCUAGCGUUCGGAGUUCUUCUGUGGUAUGCUUGGAUGUCCAAUCGGCGCUAAUUCUUCUAUUGUGUUUUUUCAAUAAAUUCAUGCCUAAAUCGAUCAACAUGAAUGCAAGCAUCACCAAAAAUGCCAACACUUAUUGUACACUAUCAUAGGAAAUUUUAGAUAGCAGUGUUCAAUGAAAUCUAUCCUACACCAUUAACUAGGUAAAUAAAGAAUCUUGUUGAGCGAAUCGUUUCUGAAUGGUGGUUUUGUUGAUCAAGCGCUAUGGCAUGCCUCAACGACGUCUAAAGUUUUAGAAAUGUUGUGUUUUUAUGAUAUGAAUGGUGGAUUAAUGGAAAAUUUGUGUUUAUGCUUGUGCAGGUAGUUUCCAAUAAUUUCAGAAUUUUGAAGGUAUCCCCUAAUGGAGCAAGCAAAGAAAAUUAUAGCUGAUCAUGGUUCUGAAUUACCAAGCCUGACUAGAACAAUGUCUAGAUCAAAUGUUGCCAAAGGGUUCUGGAUGUAUUUUCCUAGGAGUUUCUGCAAGUUGCAUUUGCCAGAAAAUGAUGCAACAAUCAUUUUGGAAGAUGAGGCUGCAGAGGAAUAUGAAACAAACUUUCUUGUCAACAGAUCCGGGUUGAGUGCUGGAUGGAGAAAAUUCUCCUUGGACCAUCAACUAAAAGUGGGUGAUAUCUUAGUGUUUCUUUUGGUCGGGCCUUGUAAAUUCAAGGUGUUCAUUGUGAGGGUCGAAAACACAAUAGAAGAUGAUGUUGCUGGAUGCCUUCUUGAUUUGAGGGACAGUCGACGAAAAAAUCCCUCACUUGGAAGAAGAUCAAGCAGAGAACAAUAACCUGUUUAUGGAGCCAUUCUGUAUGGACAUUUCUCAAGAGAAUGCUCUGAAGUUUCAGAGAGUAGAGGUUUUUGAUUAGAAAAUCCUCAGGCGGAUAGCAGACUGUUAAUUCAUUUCAAGUUUUGGAAUUUUGGUUUUAUAUAUACAUUACUAUUUGAGAAAUUGAUGGAUAGAUGCUCCUUUUUCAGUUGCCUA